UACGGGGGGGGCAAGCGUUGUUUGGAAUUACUGGGCGUAAAGGGCCAGUAGGCGGCCAACUAAGUCGGAUGUGAAAUCCCCAGGCUUAACCUGGGAACUGCAUCCGAUACUGGAUGGCUUGAAUCCGGGAGAGGGAUGCAGAAUUCCAGGUGUAGCGGUGAAAUGCGUAGAUAUCUGGAGGAAUACCGGUGGCGAAGGCGGCAUCCUGGACCGGCAUUGACGCUGAGGAGCGAAAGCUAGGGGAGCAAACGGG
rnacentral:rRNA from 1 species